rnacentral:lncRNA from 1 species
UGGUGUGUAAAGAAUAGGAGUUUAAAUUGUGAGGCAGAAAAUUCAUAAGACCAGAAGCAGGCCAAUUUGAGACACAUCAAAGGAGGGGCAUUGUGACCAAAUAUGCGAGUAUGAUGUCAGGAGAUUCGCAAGCUUUCCUGGAGCUGCUGUAGAUGGGCAUGUUGUGUGUGACACUGGGACAGGUCCAGCCUGGGACGAUCAGGCUGAGAGGACCAACCAGUGCUUCAGUUCUCCUCAUGUGUUGUCAUAAUCUGGUUAGUCAGGAAGCAGCCCAAAGCAGCAAACUUGUGUCAGCCCCUGGAGGCCAUGGAGCUGGAGGUCGUGAGUCUCUGGACCUGGGAGACAAGUCUUCCUUCCUGAAAACACUGUACUCACUGUAA